rnacentral:rRNA from 1 species
CCUACGGUGAGCAGCAGUGAGGAAUCUUGGUCAAUGGCCGCAGGGCUGAACCCGCCAAGUCGCGUGAGGGAUGACGGUCCUAUGGAUUGUACACCUCUUUUGUCAGGGAGCAAAGGGCGCCACGUGUGGCGUUUUGCGCGUACCUGAAGAACAAGCAUCGGCUAACUCCGUGCCAGCAGCCGCGGUAAUAAGGAGGAUGCGAGCGUUAUCGGGAUUUAUUGGGUUGAAAGGGUGCGCAGGCGGAAUGUCAAGUCAGCGGUAAAAUUUCGGGGCUCAACCCCGUCGUGCCGUUGAAACUGGCGUUCUUGAGGGAGCGAGAAGUAUGCGGAAGGCGUGGUGUAGCGGUGAAAUGCAUAGAUAUCACGCAGAACUCCGAGGGCGAAGGCAGCAUACCGGCGCUCAACUGACGCUCAUGCACGAAAGCGUGGGUAUCGAACAGGAUUAGAUACCCCUGUAGUC